rnacentral:rRNA from 1 species
UACAGAGGGUGCAAGCGUUGUUCGGAAUCAUUGGGCGUAAAGCGCACGUAGGCGGCUUUGCAAGUCGGGUGUGAAAGCCUGGGGCUCAACCCCAGAAGUGCAUUCGAAACUGCAGAGCUUGAGUCUUGGAGAGGGCAGUGGAAUUCCCAGUGUAGCGGUGAAAUGCGUAGAUAUUGGGAGGAACACCGGUGGCGAAGGCGGCCCCCUGGACCGGUACUGACGCUGAGGCGCGAAAGCGUGGGUAGCAAACGGG